rnacentral:lncRNA from 1 species
AGCAAGAAUGCUGACUCACCAACUACUAAUCAGGGCCGGCCCUAAGGCAGGUCGAAUUGGACGACCGCCCUAGGCCCUAGGCCCUGCAUUGAUAUUCCAAUAGGGUGCAAAGAUGGUUUUUUACAAUAUUAUAAUAAGGAAAAUAAUUGAAUACAUUAAUGAUGGGUUUUACAUGCUGAAAAUUAUUGCAUGUAGAUUAAUUUUUCAAUGAUAAUUAAUAUUUAAAAUAUAUUAAUUUUUAAUAGAAAAAAUUUUAUUUUUUCAAUUGGCUCC